GGAGUAAAAGUCGUAACAAGGUUUCCGUAGGUGAACCUGCGGAAGGAUCAUUAAAGUUAUAGUCCCCCGGCCCUCUGGGCUGGGGUCUUCUAUACCACCCUUUGUUUAUUACACCUUUGUUGCUUUGGCAGGCCUGCCCUCGGGCUGCUGGCUCCGGCCGGCUCGCGUCUGCCAGAGGACCUAAACUCUGUUUGUAUAUGAAGUCUGAGUACUAUAUAAUAGUUAAAACUUUCAACAACGGAUCUCUUGGUUCUG
rnacentral:misc_RNA from 1 species